GAUGAACGCUGGCGGCGUGCCUAAUACAUGCAAGUCGAGCGAACGGACGAGAAGCUUGCUUCUCUGAUGUUAGCGGCGGACGGGUGAGUAACACGUGGAUAACCUACCUAUAAGACUGGGAUAACUUCGGGAAACCGGAGCUAAUACCGGAUGAUAUUUUGAACCGCAUGGUUCAAAAGUGAAAGACGGUCUUGCUGUCACUUAUAGAUGGAUCCGCGCUGCAUUAGCUAGUUGGUAAGGUAACGGCUUACCAAGGCAACGAUGCAUAGCCGACCUGAGAGGGUGAUCGGCCACACUGGAACUGAGACACGGUCCAGACUCCUACGGGAGGAAGCAGUAGGGAAUCUUCCGCAAUGGGCGAAAGCCUGACGGAGCAACGCCGCGUGAGUGAUGAAGUUCUUCGGAUCGUAAAACUCUGUUAUUAGGGAAGAACAUAUGUGUAAGUAACUGUGCACAUCUUGACGGUACCUAAUCAGAAAGCCACGGCUAACUACGUG
rnacentral:rRNA from 1 species